CAAGGCGGGGCUGGCUCGGAGGAAGCUGGGGGCGCAGGGAGAUGGGUCGAGUCCUGCAUUAUCCACCAAGCCGGGGUUGUGGGCUGGUGCCCCGCUGAUGCCCGGGCGGAAACGCUCCUUACUCCUGGAAGGAAGCGCAGGUGCGGCUGCGUCACGUAGCCAUCGCCCGCGGCCGGAGGUGCUGCCAGGGUCACUUUCGGAAACGCUGUGACGGAAGCAGCAGCAACGGGCCUGCUAAAGGAGCAUUUUCAGUGUGCUUUUAACGACCUGUUAGUGGUUGUAAAAACCAGUUUAGCUGGUUUCUACCUGGACGGGGUACAGACACUCAAUAAUAACAAGAGUCAACGUGUAUUGAGUGUUUGCUGUAUACUAGCAAGAAGACACUCACCAGAUGCAGCCCC